rnacentral:tRNA from 1 species
GCCAGUGUGGUGUGGUGGUUUGAGUGUUGGACUAUGACUCUGGAGACCAGGGUUCUAAUCCCUGCUCAGCCA